ACCGGCGGCUCGAGUGGAGGAGAAAAAAAAUGGGGGAAAAGGGGAAGAAGAGGGCUGGGGAAGAGAAGGGGGCAGAGGAGGGGCGCGGAGUGAAGGAGGAAAAGGGAUACUGGCAGGCUAGGGACCGGAAGAGGUGAGAGGUACUCCAGGGGUAGGAGUGAAAUCCUGUAAUCCUUGGGGGACCACCUGUGGCGAAGGCGUCUCACCAGGACGGCUCCGACAGCGAGGAACGAAAGCUGGGGGAGCAAACCG
rnacentral:rRNA from 1 species